GACGAACGCUGGCGGCGUGCUUAACACAUGCAAGUCGAACGGGCCCGCUCUUUUUUGGGGGCGGGUUGAGUGGCGAACAGGUGAGUAUCACGUGAGCAACCUGCCCUCCUCUCCUGGAUAACCGCUUGAAAGGGCGGCUAAUACGGGGUGUUCCGGUUGGUCCGCAUGGGCUGGUCGGGAAAGGUUCAUCGUUGUGGUGUUUCGGUGGGGGAUGGGCUCGCGGCCUAUCAGCUUGUUGGCGGGGUGAUGGCCCACCAAGGCGGUGACGGGUAGCCGGCCUGAGAGGGUGGGCGGCCACACUGGGACUGAGACACGGCCCAGACUCCUGCGGGAGGCAGCAGUGGGGGGUAUUGCACAAUGGGCGGAAGCCUGAUGCAGCGACGUCGCGUGAGGGAUGGAGGCCUUCGGGUUGUGAACCUCUUUCUCCGGUGGUGAAGGCCCCGCCCUUCGUGGUGGGGUUGACGGUAGCCGGGUAUGAAGCGCCGGCUAACUACGUGCCAGCAGCCGCGGUAAUACGUAGGGCGCGAGCGUUGUCCGGAAUUAUUGGGCGUAAAGGGCUUUGUAGGCGGCCGGCCGCGUCCGUCGUGAAAAUCCUUCGGCUCAACCGGGGGGCUUGCGGUGGGUACGGGUCGGCUGGAGUGGGGUAGGGGAGGCUGGAACUUCCUGGUGUAACGGUGAAUGCGCAGAUAUCAGGAGGAACACCGGGGGCGGAGGCGGGUCUCUGGUCCGUUUCUGGACCGUAGGAGCGAAGCGUGGGGAGCGAGAAGAG
rnacentral:rRNA from 1 species